rnacentral:rRNA from 1 species
UACGUAGGGGGCAAGCGUUGUCCGGAAUCAUUGGGCGUAAAGCGCGUGUAGGCGGCUCGGUAAGUCUGCUGUGAAAGUCCAGGGCUCAACCCUGGAAUGCCGGUGGAAACUGUCGGGCUAGAGUCCGGAAGAGGCGAGUGGAAUUCCUGGUGUAGCGGUGAAAUGCGCAGAUAUCAGGAGGAACACCAAUGGCGAAGGCAGCUCGCUGGGACGGUACUGACGCUGAGACGCGAAAGCGUGGGGAGCAAACAGG